rnacentral:rRNA from 1 species
GCGCAACCCUGAUCCAGCCAUGCCGCGUGAGUGAAGAAGGCCUUAGGGUUGUAAAGCUCUUUCAGCGGGGAAGAUAAUGACGGUACCCGCAGAAGAAGCCCCGGCUAACUCCGUGCCAGCAGCCGCGGUAAUACGGAGGGGGCUAGCGUUGUUCGGAAUUACUGGGCGUAAAGCGCGCGUAGGCGGAUAGUCAAGUCAGGGGUGAAAGCCCGGGGCUCAACCCAGGAACUGCCUUCAAAACUGGCUGUCUUGAGUCCGAAAGAGGUGAGUGGAAUUCCCAGUGUAGAGGUGAAAUUCGUAGAUAUUGGGAAGAACACCAGUGGCGAAGGCGGCUCACUGGCCCGGUACUGACGCUGAGGCGCGAAAGCGUGGGGAGCAAACAGGAUUAGAUACCCUGGUAGUCCACGCCGUAAACGAUGAGUGCUAGCCGUCGGGCAGCUUGCUUUUCGGUGGCGCAGCUAACGCAUUAAGCACUCCGCCUGGGGAGUACGGUCGCAAGAUUAAAACUCAAANAUUUGGAAC